GUCCAUGCUGUCAACUAUGAAUGCUAGAUUUUAAAUAUUAAUAUUUAGUUUCUAAGCUAACGCGUUAAGCAUUCCGCCUGGGAAGUACGAUCGCAAGAUUAAAACUCAAAGGAAUUGACGGAAAUCUGCACAAGCGGUGGAGCAUGUGGUUUAAUCCGAUAUAACGCGUUUAAUCUUACCAAUUUUUGAAAAUUAAGAUGUCUGAAUUGAAAAAUUCUGUUAAGAAAUUUACAAAUGAGUAAAUUAUUGAGUCUUAAAACAGGUGUUGCAUGGCUGUCGU
rnacentral:rRNA from 1 species